CUGACCAUAUAACACAAUUCAUAUGCCCAAAUUUUAAUAUUUCUGUGAUAAUCAAGAAAUAAAAAGGAAUGGCAGAGUUACCUUUCUAUUAACCUUAAUUACAUUAGCACACCAUAUAAAAAAUAUCUCCCUAGUGUAGAAGGCAAUGGCCUUUCUCAAAGCAUUCACAUGUUAGUUUGUUCCUAAUGCUACAGUUGAAAAUCUCUGACAUCAAUCUUCAUCGUCCAUAGCAGCAUCACCAUGUUGCUUGUCAACAUCCUCUCUGAUUUCUCCAUCGCUCUCUUGCAGCUCAGCAGAAUUUUCUCGGACAGGACUGGACUGUGGUUUCCUCUCUAAUGCCUCAUCAUCAUCAGAUUCUGACCAUGCCCGCCUCCUCCUACUUGUUGAUGAAGGCGCAGGUGCUUCAUCCUCCGCAUCAGAAUCUUCAAGCCCAGCUGCUGCAAGAAGUUCCUGAGCAUUUUCUUCUGCAUUUUCAUCAUAAUCAUUCCCUUUGCUUCUGUGUUCCCUGUAAUUAAUAUUGGCAUCUUCAUCUUCCAGUUCUUCAUGAUCAUCCAUCAUGUCAGCUUCAUUUUCUUCCAUUUCAUAGUGUGACUUCGAACUCUUAUCCUUCCUUCUCUUCUUUCCACCUUUUCUCCUUCUCUUCUCACUAUGCCCACCCUCAUCAUCAUCUACCUCAGACCUAUCCCUCCUCUUAGAAGCAGGUGUACUACUCUUCCAUUGCUCCUUUACACGCUCAAAAUGCUCCUCUUGUUGCCGCACCCGUUUUGCUUCAUCUUCCUGCUUCCUCCUCUCUAACUGAAAUUUCCUUUGUUCUUCUGCUUUACGACGGGCUUCCUCGGCCAAUGCCAUCUGACGAGCCACUUCCUGUCUCUGCCGGUUCUGCUGCUCCUCACGCUCAGCUGCUUCACGAUGAACUUUUGCAGCAUCGAGUAAAUGCUUACAAUACUCAACAUGGGUGUUGAUUUUCUUCUCAUCAAACCCAUGAAAGUGAAGGUUGGAAGAAGCAGAUAACUGACUGAAUAAACGAACAGCAUUUUCCAGCUCAUCAACUGUUGAGCGCACCUCGUCU
rnacentral:misc_RNA from 1 species